UACGUAGGGGGCAAGCGUUAUCCGGAUUUAUUGGGUUUAAAGGGAGCGUAGGUGGAUUGUUAAGUCAGUUGUGAAAGUUUGCGGCUCAACCGUAAAAUUGCAGUUGAAACUGGCAGUCUUGAGUACAGUAGAGGUGGGCGGAAUUCGUGGUGUAGCGGUGAAAUGCUUAGAUAUCACGAAGAACUCCGAUAGCGAAGGCAGCUUACCAGACUGCGACUGACGCUGAAGCACGAGAGCGUGGGUAGCGAACAGG
rnacentral:rRNA from 1 species